rnacentral:tRNA from 1 species
GGGCGCGUAGCUCAGCGGGAGAGCACUGCCUUCACACGGCAGGGGUCACAGGUUCAAUUCCUGUCGCGCCCA